rnacentral:rRNA from 1 species
UACGAAGGGGGCUAGCGUUGUUCGGAAUUACUGGGCGUAAAGCGCACGUAGGCGGGUUGUUAAGUCAGGGGUGAAAUCCUGGAGCUCAACUCCAGAACUGCCUUUGAUACUGAGGAGCUUGAGUCCGGGAGAGGUGAGUGGAACUGCGAGUGUAGAGGUGAAAUUCGUAGAUAUUCGCAAGAACACCAGUGGCGAAGGCGGCUCACUGGCCCGGUACUGACGCUGAGGUGCGAAAGCGUGGGGAGCAACAGGAUUAAGAAACCCU